AGGUGCCAGAGCCCCAGGCUCCAGGGCCCCCGUUCUGCUGGGAGAGACAGACCUGGACCCACAGCGCCCUGAACUGUGCUCGGCUGGAUGUGCCACGCUUGGGUGGAGGCCUAGGUCUGCUCCCACGUGGGGCGAGCGUGUGCCGGGGCCCAGAGGACAUGGUCCCAGAGAGGCCUCGGAGGGAGGAGGUGCUCACGCGGUGGAGGCCAGCUCAGGCCAGGGCAAUGCCGGACAGAGGCUGGAAUCCCCUCAUUCAUGGGUCCGCUCACCUCUCACUCCCUGAGCACCUGUUCCAGAUCCCCUCAUCCUCCGCCUGUACCUCUUCUGCUCAACACCUGUGGGCUCACCUGUGGGCUCACCCAGACCGUCAUCCCUGAGACGUAGGAGCCCCGGGUCGCCCUGUCCUGCUCAGGCUGUGGCGGCUGUACUUUCCCAUUUUACCAUCAACACUGGGCAACGGUGUGCCAAGGGGUGCCUGGUGGGGUCCCCUGCACGCCACACAGAUACCCCUGCGUUGCCAUUGGAACAGCACUUCCAUUUCCUGCUGAGUCUCCAUCAGCCCUACCAGGAUAACGAUGCCUCUUCUCUCUGCGGGUCCCUCGGCAUAAGAAGCCAGAGUGCCCGGCGUCAGCUGUAGCUUGUAGUUCAAUGAAACUCUUACUGUGUCCCCGGUGGAAGCUCUAACAGAGCCCUGAAUUGCAGAGACAGGAAGCACGAAUCCCGCAGUGGUCGCUGGGAGAGAUAGUCCCUGACCAGCUGACCGAGCCCUUUGUCACUGCCCAUGAGUCCAUCUAUACUCUAACUUUGGG